UUCCGGUUGAUCCUGCCGGACCUUACUGCUAUCGGGGUGGGACUAAGACAUGCGAGUCGAGCGUCUCUAGCUAUGUUGAGACGCGGCAGACGGCUCAGUAACACGUGGCUAACCUACCCUCAGGACGAGGAUAAACCCGGGAAACUGGGGCUAAUACUCGAUAUGUGAGGAUGUCUGGAAUGAUUUCUCACUCAAAGGGCCUUGGAAACAUGCUUCCAUUGUCGCCUGGGGAUGGGGCCGCGUCCGAUCAGGUUGUUGGUGAGGUAAUGGCUCACCAAGCCUAUAACCGGUACGGGCCGUGAGAGCGGUAGCCCGGAGAUGGGUACUGAGACAAGGACCCAGGCCCUACGGGGCGCAGCAGUCGCGAAAACUCCGCAAUGCACGAAAGUGUGACGGGGCUACCCCGAGUGCCAUCCGCUGAGGAUGGCUUUUCCUUGGUAUAACUAGCCGAGGGAAUAAGGAGAGGGCAAGACUGGUGUCAGCCGCCGCGGUAAUACCAGCUCUCCGAGUGGUAGGGAUGAUUAUUGGGCUUAAAGCGUCCGUAGCCGGCUUAGCAAGUCUCCUGUUAAAUUCAGCGACCUAAUCGUUGACCCGCGGGAGAUACUACUAAGCUAGGAGGCGGGAGAGGUCGACGGUACUUCUAGGGUAGGGGUGAAAUCCUAUAAUCCUAGGAGGACCACCAGUGGCGAAGGCUGUCGACUAGAACGCGCUCGACGGUGAGGGACGAAAGCUGGGGGAGCGAACCGGAUUAGAUACCCGGGUAGUCCCAGCCGUAAACGAUGCGGGCUAGGUGUUGGGGUGGCUACGUGCCACUUCAGUGCCGCAGGGAAGCCAUUAAGCCCGCCGCCUGGGGAGUACGGCCGCAAGGCUGAAACUUAAAGGAAUUGGCGGGGGAGCACCACAA
rnacentral:rRNA from 1 species